rnacentral:lncRNA from 1 species
CUCCCACAGUGGUGAGAGCUGAGAGGUGACCACAGAAAGCAUUGGACAAUCCACCUGUUCCCCAUCGCGGGGCCGUUUCAACAUUCCAAUCAUACGUGGCAGCAAUGUUAUAAAUGUGAUUGAAGAAUAUUUAUUGUCAAGGUUAUCACAUUGUAAUAAAACAUAUGGGUACUUUAAGACCCUGAUAAAACAGCUGUGUUUGCUCAGGUGAAGGAAGGCAUGCAGGUGUAAAGUGUUAGCUGACGUUUUAAAUAGAUUUAGCUCAGUAGGAAAAAAGAUGGACUCUGCUGGAAAGAAAAAAAAAAAGAAAAGAAAAAAAAACACAAAACAACAUGGGGGCAAGUACAGAACCUCUUUACUCCCCACUGAUUUCUCCUUCUCCCACGAUUUUUCCUCCUGGCAGAUUCUGUGCACCCCUGAGCUGAAGAGCAGUCCUUAG